rnacentral:rRNA from 1 species
AUGGGAGAGACGGGAGGAAGGGAAGGCCAUGAGGGCGCCGGGGGCGAGCAGGGAGGGGAGGAGCGUGCGGUUCAUAGGCCACAGAGGGGCGGGGCCGAGGCAGCGAGGGAGGUGGGGGCUGAGAUGGAGGUGGGUGCAGAGUUGCAGGGGUUGGUAGCCAGGGCCCGACGCCGGGCGGCGCGGGUUCAGAGGCUCGUCGGCGGGCACGGGAUCUGCACGGCCGCGCAUCACCGGGAGGGGCGCUUGUAUGCUCUAGUUCAAAGGAAGGAGGUGGAGGGGUGGGCCGGUGGCUCUGGGAGGAAGCCGGAGCAGGUUGUGGAAGCUCGGUGGCUUGGGCCCCUCGGCAGCGCGUGGAGGGAGGUGGUGCGGCGACGGAGGAAGGAGGUGGUGCGGUGGAGGGAGGGAGGUGCUGCGGUGUGGAAGGGGAAGAAGGUGGGAGGAGAUGGGUUGGUGGGCACGAGGAAUCGUGGGAGUGGGAGCAGUGGGGGUGGGUUGAUUGGCUCGCUGUGUGUCGGGUGUUAG